AUCCAUAAAAGCUACAGAGACAUUUGUCAAGCCGAAAGGUAUUAUUAAGAAUUCAUAAUGAAACUCUUAUUUAACCAUUCUUAUUGUUGCUUCUUUAAUUCCACUAACUCGAGAGGUAUCAUUCUAUAGGGAGGCUUAGAUAUUGGGGUAGUCCCCAGAGACCAAAUCAUUAACAAAUUCACCUUCUCCAUUUGGAGGUAAUCCGAGCAAGUCAUCCGAGAAUACAUCAGGGAACUCUCUAAACACAGAAGUAUCAUUUAGAUUAGUUUCUUGAUCUGAA
rnacentral:lncRNA from 1 species